ensembl:lncRNA
AUUUAAUAGACCCGCUCCGUAGUUUUCUGGCAUCUACAUUCGUUUGAAGAAAUCUGGGGCUACUGUUGAAAUUCAAUAACCUUUUCUAGAAUAAAGGCAGUACCUGUUUCUUUAAUUUCCUCAAGAAGAUGAAACGUUGUUGCUGAAAUAUUUCUUUUCUUUCCUGGAGGCAGGCCUCUAACCUCGUGGUGGCCAUUUUCCCCUGCCUCUGCAAUCACGGAGCCACAUCAGGAUGGAUCUUCCCAAGGCUUGGGUCCUUGAGUGGCUGGGAUGAGAAGAGCUCCAUUGAUGACCCUGAUGGACAUAGUGUUCAGAACUCUUGGUUUAAGGAAAGAAAGUGGUCUGAGCCUUGGUCAUCAUUGGCCACUCUUGACAACACCCAUUUGCUGUAAGACCACUGGCCAUCUGCUUGGGUCAAGAAUGCACAUCUAAACUCUAAAAGAGAUUCGGCUUUGGAAGGGAUCAAGAAUUUUGAUUAAGAAUUUAUAAUGACAUUCUCAGCACCGUGCCACCCAUAACUCACAGAGUUUAUAAUACGUGGAACUAGAACUAAUAGACAAAUGAAGUGAAUGAAAGAAAAUCUUUAUAGAAUAAUUUUAAAGGUAAGAACUUCUUUAUAAUGAUAUAUUUUAUAGCAGAUUUCAGUUUCUAAUAUCAAGUACCCUCUUCUAGGCUUCCAAUUUGCAGAAUUCCUCAUCAUGUUCAUUUCAGGGGUGUUAAGGCUGCAUCCUGCUAUGGAAUUUGAAAGGGAUUCAUUCCCUUUCUUCCUGCCUCAGUGUAUCUUUGGGUGGACACUUGCUGAUUUUGGUAGGUCAAUAAGUCACUUUUCCUGAGAUUCGGAAACUUUAAUGGAUGAUGUAAGUGUACAGGGGUAGUAAGAGGUAAGUCUCACUGGAGUGGCCAAGGAGGCACACAGAUCAGACUAUUUCUACAGAAUGAUGUUUGCUGUGGCUACUACUUGGCUAAUCCUUUGGAAUUCCCUUGAUAUGGCUCAGACGGCUGACAGUCCCAGUGUAUCCAUUCUCCUCUUAUACAUUUUGGUAAAGUUUAAGCUGGGCAUAUGACUGACAAUUACAGACUCAAAUUUCCGUCCUUUCUUGUAACUAGGUGUGGCCAAAUGACUAAGUUUUGAAUAAUGGGAUGUAAGCAGAAGUGAUGGUUUCAGGCACUGGAUCAUUUCCUUGCUCUGACUCUCCUUUCUUUCUUCACUUCUGCAGGUUUAAAUGAGGUCAUUGUAUCAAUGAAACUCUGACCUUGCAAAAAAGGGCAACUUAGGGAUGGUAGACCAACAAAAUAGAAGGGACCUUGACCCCGAUUGACUUUGUAGAGAGAGCUGACCCUCCUCUAUGGACUAGCUUGACUUUUAUGUAAGAAAAAAGUAAAGUCCAGCAAACAUCAUCCAAAAUAUUUGGGCAUCUCUUUAUUAUAGCAGUUGAGUCUCUCUCUAAUUACUGUAUUUAGAUUCUUCCCAUUUAGUUUAUGCAUGACCCUUCAGACUCCAUCAACUGUACUCCUGAUAUCUCUCCAGUAAGGCCUCUUUUUGGUUAAGAUAGUUACAUUUUGUUUCUGUUGCUUGCCUCUAAGAACUCUGGCUGAUACAGUUUCCAUCAUAAUGUGACAGAGUGCUUUUAGUUUCUGAAGCCUCUGCUGCAGUAAUCAUGGUUCUUUGCUGAUUAUUUUCAGUGUACCAUUGCCAGACACUAACUUUUCUCUUGAUAGACCUGUAUUUAUUAAAUAUGAGUUUAAUAAACAUGUGGACAGCUGUCAUUAUCAUGCUUCAUAACUCUCAAGAAAAUUGUUUAAAAGAUGGUGCAAGAAACUAAGGAUACCCUGAGUUGAAGUGCUGGAAAAGAUUAAAUGAAAAAUAUGCUUAGUCCAUCAGCUCCUCAGAGAUCAGUCCCCAGACUCUAGUCUCCACCACCUAGCACCAUGCCUGAUACACAGUUGAUGUCUAAGGAAUGUUUGUUGAGUUGUUUAUUGAAUCUGUCAUCACAUUAUCAGCAAUAAGGGAGGAAGUAAAUCCCACUGAGUUCCUAAUUAGGCAGCUUCUUAGAAAUUAAUUUAAAAAUCCACAUUUAAACAUAGGUAAGGUCUGGGGCCUGCCUGGUGGCAUAGGGGUUAAGUUCACUGACUCUGCUUUGGUGGCCUGGGGUUCACAGGUUCAGAUUCUGGCCACGGACCUACACAUCACUCAUCAAGCCAUGCUGUGGUGGCAUCCCAUAUACAAAAUAGAGGAAUAUUGACACAGAUGUUAGCUCAACAACAAUCUUCCUCAAGCAAAAAGAGGAAGAUUGGCUACAGGUGUUAGCUCAGAGACAAUCUUCCUCACCAAAACUAAAUAAAUAAAUAAACAUAGAUAAGGCCAUAAAAGCAGAAUAUAAUGCUAUUCUUUCUGUGCCUAUAUUUUCUGCAUGUCUUUAGCAGACCUACUCUUUAAGCUGAGUAUCUUCUGUGUACUCCUUCACAAUCAUUCUUCAUCCCUCUGUAGGCUGCUCAGUGCCCCAAGAGGCUGGCCUUAUGGAUGACAUCAGUAGGGUUCCUGGGUGCUCAACUUCCUAUUGUAUUCCCAUUCUUCAAAGGUCAGCCUUGGGGGAGAGAGCAGUGAGGGAGGAGAGUGAGGUCAGAGUGUUGAACUGGGUGGUCCCUUGACUGAAGGACACUGCUCCCCUUAAGAAUUCCAACUCUUCAUAACCAUCUCUCCGUCCAUCAAGAGCUGAAUAACUACUCCCUUAACUCAGCUCUUAGGACCUAGAAGUGCUAACAGCUCAGAUACUAUUAGAUCUGGGGUACUGCACUAUCCCUUUGAUUUCCCCUACAACCACACCUUUAUAAUAACCAUUUGUAAACAAACCUUCCUUGGUUAUCCUAAUUUUUGUAUGCGUCAUUUCUUUCCUGUUGAACUCCUGGUUGACACUCCUUAUAUUCAGAAUUUGGACCUAGAGUGUUGUAUUAGCUAGCGUGUAAACUAACAAAGAGACUCAAUAUACAGUGGAUUAAAAAAAUAUUGGAGUAUGUGUCUCCUUCACAUGGAAAUCAGAGGAAAGUGGCCAGGGCAGAGCGGGUACCAGCUCUGCCCUCCUUGAUACAUGACUUCCCCUGCGUGAGGGGAUCCAAGUUAACUGCCCUGGCCUCACCAUCCCCCAGCCAGCAGUAGUGAGGAAAACAACCAAUGGAGCUCACACUCUAUCCUUUUAAAAGCAAUACCCGCAGAAUGGAGCACACUGCUCGCACUCAUAUUGCAUGGGCAUUACCUUAGCCUCAUGGCUGCAGUUAGAUGACCGAAAGGCUGGGAAAUUCAAUCUUUCUUUGGGCAGUAAUGUGCCCUGCUGACAUUCUACUACUACAGAAGUAGAGAAAAAUUGCUAUUGGGAGGUGACUAAUUUAAGGCCAGAGGCUUAUUUUGGUUCAAGAGGAGCCAGCCAGACACGGACUCCACCCCAGGGAUACAAUACUGAAUAAGAUGUUUCCUCCUGUCAAUGAAUUGAUGGCCUAGUUAGAGAGACAAACAGCAAGACAAAUAAUCUCAACACAAUACAUGUGACAUGAGAAAGGUCUGGCCCAGGUGCUACAGGAGCAUGGGGGAGGGACAGUUAUUCCAGGUUUAUAGCUCCAGAAAAGCAUAAAAAAGGAAGUAUUUGAGCUGUGGCUUGAAAUCAUGACAGCAAACUGGUGCCCUGUCACCAGGUUAAUGACCUAUACAACUGCCCGUCCUUACAUGGAAAAGAGUCCAUGAUGAUCUAAAGGUCUGCCAAGCUCCUGCUCCCCUGACCUAAGUGGAUCUUUCUGCGUCCUGUUGCUAUAGCUUUUGCUAUGCAGUGUUAGAAAAAUUGAGUCAUGCAAUCCUGAGCUGUACUGAUUUACCCUAAGGCCAUUGCCUGAGUUAGCGGAAACCAAAAAUGGCCUGGAGUAGAAAGAGAAUGAUGUUCAGGUUUGGCACUCUCCAUGCAACAAGAGAACAACACAGUAUGGGAACAACCCAACCCCUUAUAACCUCCUUUUGAGAAAGUAAGGGACUCUUGCCAACCUGCACAGGAAACUGCAUUGAGCUGUUGUUCUCAUUCUCUCUGAGGCCAGCGGUGCACUCCAAUAUUAGAACAUCUGAGACCAGAGUGACCACAUAUCUUAGAAAAGAAUGACCUCCAGUUGUUCAAACAUAUUUGUUGAAUGUCUGCUACAUACCACACACUGUGAUAGAAGCCAAGGAGUUUCUCUUAAUCUCUUAUAUCCUUAUAAUAAAUCUUCAUUUAUAUAAGGAAAACUGUCCAUAUGUCUUCUUUGCCUUUAGAGAACCAACCACAAAGUCCUCUGCUCACGACGUGAAAAAAACAAAACCUUUAGAGAUGGAUUUUCAAACUGGGUUCUGCUGAUCCUGGGGCUCAAAUAGUACCCUACAGACCAUCGCAGAAAGGGAGGGUGAGAUGGCAUGCGUUCAGCUCCAGGUGCCCCCAAACUCAUUCUGCCAGAGGUGCUUUACUUUCCCUGCUAUUAUAUAUCAGGAUUCCACACCACAUUUCUUAAACAAAACAAAACUGAAAAAAUGGGGAUGGGGACAGAGACAGAGUUUGUACAAGUCAUUGACUGUUCAUUUACAGCUGCAUUUGAACUCACGUUACUCUACAUUAUAAGGCCCCAGGACUCCACAUAUUAAAUUAUCCAGACUCCUUUGCCAACUGGCUUCAGGAUGGGCUCUGACAGUGGACGCUCUUCAAUGGAGGGAGCACAGAAGACAAGGGAGAGAAGCUACUCUCUUCUUUCUGGGUCUGGCCGUGUCUCCAGCAGCAGUGAAGGUGACAGCAUCACUGAGAGGAUCACGGUGAAGGUGACAGUAGCAGUGGUUUGAUUACACAGGCUCCUGGGAUCCUACUCAGGUGGCUCAUGUCCUCCCAUGGAAAGCCCCUCAGCAGACAUGGAUCCUGGGCUCUCAAUAAGGUGUUUUCCUGUUUUGCUCCUCCAGCCCAUAGCUGUGACCAAUACCUAUAUUUAAUCCUUUCUGUUUGAAAUACCUGUAGUGAUGUUUGGUUUCCUAUUUGGAUCCUGACAGAUCCAAGUAGGGUAGGGGUGGGUGUUGAUUGUUUAAACAAAUAUAAACAAAAAGAGAAUUGAAAACAACUACUAUAGAACAAUGGUUCUCAUUCAGGGUAAUUUUGAACACUGCUGGAUUUUAAUCUGUUAUAAGAAAAGGGUGACAAGAAAGCUGGUACCCUGAGCGUUGAGCAUGAUAGAAAGGGUAUAUUUUAGAGGUGGCUGCCUCUCUGUUGAUGGUUUGUAGUCCCUGGGAGGGACCCAUGUAGCUAAACAUACGUGUCUGCAGAUCUACACUGGGCAGGAAGCAAUAAUGCCAGCACAACUGCCGAUCUGCACACCACUCACAUAACAUAAGGGCAGUCUCAGGAAUGGGUUUCCCUGACUGACCAUUGGAUUGUUUACCUUGAGAACAAUGGGAGAGGCUGAGGGAUGUUCUCUGUGCCCAGGAAACUGGUGGGUGAUGUCCCUUUGAAUACGUGUCAUGCCUACCACAGUGACCUACGAUUGGGCUCCUGAUUACUUGCUCCCAUAGCAGAAUUCUGUUGAAGGCACAAUUAUCCAUAGAUUUUUCUCUCCCACCUCCACAGAACGUUCACGGGUAUAGGUAUAUUUAUCAAAAUUAAAGCAUUAUCUAGCUAUCCUUUGGAAAUAAAAUUGAACUGAAUUAGAAGCAAGUGAGAUAAGCACAAAGUCAGCCAGAGGCAAAAUUUGAACAGAAGAGAGACAAGAAGUGUGGGGUACGACCAUUUAAAGUCUGACACUAAAAGCUGAGGUAAUUGAAGUGCAAUUGAUCUCAAAAUCAUGGAGUUUAUCAGCCUAGGAAUGGAGAAGGGAAGGGCCAGAACUGAAAGGAUAAAAUAACCAUGAAAAGCAGAGUUUGACCAACACAAGGGGUCAGCGAAUAAGUUCUAAUGGACUCAGAAAUGAGGCUCACAGGAGUUCAGCUUCUCUGAAGCCUUCUGAAGGGUAUAUUAAUUCGAAACUGAGAUGAAAGAGAAACCCGUAAUCCCAAUGUGUAGAGAAAAUAAUGAAAUAUCAAUAUACAUAUGGCAGGGGAAUUUAAGAGUCUGAAAAGGGACAGGCCAUCAAGAUACAAUGGAGAAAAUUAUAGGGGAACAAAUAGCAUAGAAGGAGCAGGUGAGAAGAGACAGGAGCUAUGUUUGAGAGUUUUGUAAAGAAGAACGAAAUAAGUCAUGGUAGAUGGGAGGCAAGAUCUAGAAAAGUGUAGCUUCUUUUUGUUUCUCACAAUAUAAUACUGAAAAUCACAGUGAGCAAGGAGGGGCCUGGCAUUUUGGCAUUCUUAACAGGGAUAUUUCACUGACUUGGUUAAUGGAUGGUAGUAACCAUGUAAUUUAUUGCUCAAACACUGACACUUUUGAGAGUAAAAGAAGAUGCUACAAAUGGACAACAGGCAUGGACAGGAAUGGUCCCAUGCAAGUAGGACAUCUGGUCAUUCCACUUAUGGGGAAGAGUAUUCUGUACCCCAGAAUGGUUAUUGUGAGGAUGGUUAAUACGGAACAUGAACAAGACCGUGGAAGUAUGGAUCAAAAGCAACCAAAAACAAACAAAUACAGAGAAACAAACAAAUGGCAGAUCUGUUCCGUUCUGCUUUUCUUUUCUAACACAAUGAAUGCUAAUGGCAUCAAGCCAAAAACCUCAGCCUUCUCAGAAUGAGGGGAAGGAGAUCGCGACUCCUUUUUAUGCGAAGCAACUAGUUGGACCAAGUCAUACCUGUGUCCCAGCAAGUUGUGAUGGUGAUGAGAAGGCAAAGACGAGGUGUCAAAAACUAGUGCUUGAAAGAAUGAACAAGAGCAGGAGCAGAGAGGAAAUGAAAACUCAGGAGAAAGAUAACCUGAGGACGUGCCUCUUGGUACGAUUAAUUGACCCAAAGGUGUCUCAGGGUUAGGACAGCCAGCGGGGUGGCAAGCCAAAGCUAGGGGCAAUAGGGCCCCCUCUUCCUCAUGUGAACUUGGUGGGUGGGUUUACAUCUACUAGGGUCGGUGGCGUGUGCAGCUGUGAAGAAAGAAACAUAAAUGCCUGUAGGGACCAGGCAUGUAGCAAAAAUAAGUGAAAUUGGGCUGCUCUAAGUAAUAGAGAGUGCUGGGGAGUGGGGCAUAUUUGAAAAUGCAUUAGAAUCUAAAGUUAGUCAGUUUAAAACAAAGCAAAACAAAACAAAACUGUUCAAGCCAAAUAAACAUCUUCCAUAGGUCCCUGAACUCCUUUUUGCAACCACUAGUCUUUAUUCAAGUUCCCAUGACUCUUCCCCUCCUGUCAAAGUAAGAAGAUACUUGCCACUUCCUGACUCUAAGAGGGAGGCACAGGGCCUGCCCAGUGGCCUAGUGGUUAAGUUCAUGUGCUCAGCUUUGGCAGCCCAGGUUCUCAGUUUUGGAUCCUGGGCAUGGACUUACACACUGCUCAUCAAGCCAAGCUGUGGCAGCAUCCCAUAUACAAAAUACAGGAAGAUUGGCACAGAUGUUAGCUCGGGGCCAAUCCUCCUCAUGAGAAAAAUAAAAGAAGGAGGAGCACCAACCGAGUCUGAUUUGGAGAGGACCAGGGAUUCACUCCUGAGGGUUCAGACACUGUCUACAAACUCCUAUAGCUUCAAGUGUUCUUGACGUGGAGGCCAGAGGAAGACUUAGGAAGCUGAAGUGCUUCUUGUUGGAGUUUUGAUUUAUGAAACAUGCUACCAAAAUUCAUUUUAUUUGGCAAAUAUUUGAUGAGAGCUUACAAUGUGUUGGACAAUGAACAGCAAGUACAGAAGUGAGCAAGGUGGAUGAUAACGCUCAUCUCACAGAUCUGGUCAUCUGGAAUGGAAGGUGGCUGUUGAACAAGUUAUUAAAAAAAAGUCUUAUGAUAGUGGCAGCAGAAAUUGUUGUGGAACGUGGUGCAGGGAAGUAGGAAAGGCAUGGUGGUAAGAGCAUCCUCUCUCUCUUCCUCUCUCUGAUUAUCUAUUCAUCCCUUCAUCAUUUAUCUACACUAAAGUACUGACUGAAUAAGAAUGACUACAAUCAUAUGUACAUUCUUCAAUCUUUAAAAAUUCUGAAGAACAAUUACAUGGGGUGCAGAAGAGAAACAGUCACACAGCCCAGUUUCCUCAGAAAGUCUGGGAGUGGUUGAUAGACAGGCCCUGAUUGUGAUCAGCCUGGGGCAAAAUGGUGGAUUCCAUUGAGCUGUGUCUUUGAUCUCUCUGCUUUAAAAGUCUCUGUAUCCUCUCACCUCCCCCAGUUCUGCCUCAGUUGUAUUGAUGCUGCUUGACAGUUUCGUGGGGCAUCUGUGACUCUUCCUUGUUAUUCAGUUGCCCACAAUUCUACCUUAGGUCUUUGGUGCUUCAUGCUCUGGAAGGGUAGCCAUGUUUGCUUCUGCUGGGUGCUGGAUGGUAUCACUAGAGAAGAUAUUGGUACACAUUGACAGUUCUCAAAGUGAGGGUAUGGUAUGCAGAAUUUAAAAAAUGUUCCCCUAAAAUGCCUGUCCCUUGAUUAUUCAGUCAAAUUCUAAUCUAGUUGCUCUGAAGGGACUUUGAAGAUGGAAUUAAGGUCACUAAUUACUAAUCAGUUGACCUUAAAAUAGGGGGAUUAUCUUUGAUUAUCAAGGUUGUCUCAUUGUAAUCAAGGAAGAGAAGGCAGAAGAAGCUAAGACGUGGCAAAAGAGGGAGGCAGAGGAAAGAUGAGGCAAAAGGGGAGAGGUUUCAAGAAUGAGAAAGGUUAGCUCAUUGUUACUGACUUUGAAAAAUGAAAGAAGAAGAAAUGUGGGCAGCCUCUGAUGGUGAUGCUGAGGAUGACCCCUGACCAACAGUCAGCAGGGAAAUGGGGACCUCAGUCCUACAACCACAUGGAAUUGAAUUCUGGCAAGAACCUAAAUGUGCUUGGAAGCAGAUUCUUCCCAGAGCCUCUUGAUAAGAUCCCAGCCUUCUGACAUCCUGAGAGUCUUGGAGCCUAGAAACCAGCUAAGCCUACAGGACUUCUGACCUACGGAACUGUACAAUAACGCACUUGUGUUGUUUUAAGCUGCUAAAUUGUGGUAAUUUGUACAGUAACAAUAGAGAACUAAUUCAGAGGAAUAGACAGAAGAUGAACAGCUCCUUGAGGACCAGCUCAGUAUCAUAUUAACCCUGAAUGUUUAUACCCAGCACACUUCUGGGCAGACGGUGCAUCCACAGACAUGUUUAGAACAGGAUGCUCAAAAAUGCAGAGGCAGAGAGGAGGGGUUAGCACCGUGAAAUCCAAAGUCUGUCUGCUUCAGAUUAUGUCCCUGCUCUACCAUUUUUAGCUGCAUGACCUUAGACAAGUUCUCUAACCUCUCUGACCCGCAUUCAUAAUUCAUAAAAUGGGGAUAAUAAGAGUACUUUAAUCAUGGAGUUGUAUGGACCGUUACGUGUGUGUAAAUGUGUAUAUGCGUGUGUGUGUGUGUAAUGAGCCCAGAAUAUAAUAACUAAAAUAUAAAUGCUAGCUAUCACUUUAAUACCAUGACUGUGAUAAUUAUUAUGCUGUUCCCUUGUGACCUGACCCCUGUGUGGCCAUGCAUCUGUUCUAGUUGAGGGCAGGAAGUCUGUUCCUUUGUGCACUGCCUCAUCAUGAGCACCUAGCCAAGCACAGGUAAUAGGUUCUCAGUAAUUACUUUUUUCAUGAAUAAAUGAAUGGAUAAAUGAACAACAUCGUUUACAAACUGCACAGACAGGCAAAAUCAGCAAAGACUGGGAGAUGUGAAAGGUGUAGGAAUUGGCCCAGACGUGUUUUCCUGAAGCUCUUUUGUUUUUUGAGGAAACAUUCUGGUAAGGGCUUGUUUUCUCAUCAUUUUUCUAUUCUGAUAACUGUGCAGCAUAUUAGAAAAAUCGACUUCAGGUCAAGUUGGCGAAGUGAGUUCACAAUUUGAUAUGCCUGUCUACUUUAAGUACGGAGAAUCAAAAGGAAAAUAUAAAGAGAGAUGAAAAACACACAGGGAGACUUGAAAACAUGAUAAGCACUCUGGUCCAGGCAAAGAACAGGAAUGUGAAAGGCUGGUGGUAGGAGUCCCGGGCCAACUGUUUCCUGCCAUUGGAUGCAGGUGGUGGUGACAGGAGAUCAGCGCCUGUGCAUUAAAGAUAAUUUAAAAUGUUCUUCUUGGGCUGGGGCCAGAACCAGGCUUCUCACCUGAAUCUAAAAGAUGAUGUGGGACACUUUGCACCUCUGCCAAGAAAGAACACUGAAGGAGGAACUGGAUGCCCAUUGCUUAGGGCUACAGCUCUAGCGGAAGCUCUAACUAAGAUGUCGGGAGGCAGAGACACAGUCGUAGCUGGGCCUUGAGUCAGGCUACUCCUGGUUUGUCUGUUGCAUCCUGGGACCCUGAUAUUUCUGAGGUAGGAGCUUUACCAUGUCUUCAUAAGAUCUAGGUCCAAACGUGGGAGCUUCUAAUUAGGAGGGAGGAGAGAAAAAUGAAUAAAUAAAUAAAUCGCACAAUGAAAAUCCAAUGCAAAGUAACAAUGCCAAGAACAGCAACAUAAAACGAAAAAUAGAUCCACAAUCAGAAUAUGAAUUUACUCCUAAUGAGAUUAACUUAAUGUAGCCAUUUGGCAAACACGGCCGGGAUGCUCAAGGAAACAAAUGGAGAAAUGACAGUCAUAAAAGUAACAAGAAAUUAUGAAGCUAAUUCAAGCAAAUAGAAAACUGGAAAGAUAGUUAGGAAAAACUUAUAAAACUUGAAAUAUAGAGAGUCAUUGAAAUUAUUAAAAAAUCUCAAUACUCGCAUAAUCUGUCACUUUCAUAUAGAUGGAGAAUUAGUGAAUUGACAGCUAUUGCUAAAAAAUUCAUCCAGAAUGUAGGCAAGAGACAGACAAAACUUAAAUGUGUGAAGAGUAGAAAGGAACUGAGAAGCUCUAACUUGUGUCUAAUUGGAGUUCUAGAAUAAGAAUGGUAGACACAAUGGAGGAGAAGCAAUAUUUGAUAAUACAAAAACUGUGUAUUUUCAAAAUUGAAGAGCGAUGCAAGUAUUCCCAUUUCGAGCAGGAUAAAUACUAAAUAACCUAUGAAUACAUUACAAUGACCUAACAUCAAACCUAGCGGUUGCAUUCUCUCAGACAACCAUUUCACACCAUUCCUCACAAAUCUCCAGUUUGAUAAUCCCUUUCAUUGCAUGCAAUUAAUAAGCCUGCUUCUUAUUUUACUGAGGGAAUAAAAUGCAUCAGAAGAGAGUUUCACAUAUACUUAUCACACAAUCUAUCACAUAUACUUAUCACCAAAUCUAUCACCUUACCCUGAUCUGUAUCCACAUAUUCUGCCUUCCUUCCUUUUACAGGUAAUGAGCGAUCAGUCCUCCAACCAAAGUUAACCCUCCAUUUGUGCAUCAGAUCCUGUCUCGUUUCCUUGAAAGCAUCUCUCUUUGCUGUGGUCCUCUCUCUCCUACUUCGUCAUCCUUCUACCGAACCAUUCAAAUCUGAAUUCAACAUGCUGUCCUUUCUCCUUUCUUAAACAUAACCUCCCCUAAAAGAAAUUAAAAACACAAUAGCUAAAAGAGAGAUAGCAUCAAAUGUUCCAUCAGGUACACUCCCACCUCAGGACCUUUGCACAUGCUAUUUCCUCUGCCAAGAACACUCUUUCUUCAGACAUCUGCAUAGCUUACUCUUCUACUUUUCCAGGUCUCUAUUAGGUCUUAUCCUUUAGGCCUUCCCUGACUACAGAGUAUGAAAGAGGAUCCCCUUUCUUUUUUUUUUUUUUUCCAACACUUAAUCACUACCUGAAAUUUUAUCUACUUACUUAUUUGCUAUGGUUGUCUUCCUACACUGGAAUCCCAGCUCCAUAAAAGUAAGGCUUUAAUAUAUUUUGUUCACUGCUAUAGCCACAGAACCUAGAAAGUGGAAGGCAUAUAGAAAAUUUUUUAAAAAAAUUUAGUCAAGUACUGGAAACAUCUUGCUUUGCUGGAUAAGAAUUUCAGUCUUUUGAAUAUAGAGAUGAUGAAGAUGAUCUUGAAACACAUUUGCAAAAUGAUUUUCUUUUAAUAGUUUCCAUUAAUUUGUUUUUGCACAUGAAAGUUCCUCAUAUUUCUUGUCCUUGGCCAAGUUCAUAAUAGAAACAAAUAGAAUACGAUUUGAAUAAAAAUAACUUAAAAUUUCAUAAUGGUUAGAACCAUUCCAUAAUGGUUCACAAAUUUCAAACAUUGGUGGCUGGUUGCCUCAGUGGCUCCCAAGCUCAGGAGUGGGACAUGGGAAGUUCUGAGGCAGCAGUCUGAAGCAUGGGGUCCCCUGAGACGUGGGACUUGGGGCAGGGGCUUUGCUUGCUUGGGUGGGCAGAAUUGGUGAUAAGCUCAUUAAUGCAUGAAAACUACUUAAAGGUAGCAUCAUGAUUUAAUAUUGAAUUUUAAAAUAAGGUUAACCAAUUCAUUCAUUCAUCCAAUAAGUUUGAGUGAUAUUAUGUGCCAGGUGAUGUUCUUGGGAACUUUUUGGAAAGAGUUACUACCAGCCUACUCCUUGGCACUCAGUGCAUGUCAUGGUUGUGUCUGGGAGGACGUGGUAGCACCUAGGAGAUGUAUAAAACACGGUAGUAAAGGGAGGCACUGUAAUGAGGAACCAGGUUUGAUUUGAAUCACGAUCCAGCUGACUUUGGGUCAGUAACUCGACCUGUCUGAUUCUUAGUUUUCUCAUUUGUAGAUGGGCAGUAUACCAAUCACGCAAAAUUUUAUAAGAAUUAUUGAUCGUGCACACAAAGUGUUUGCCAUAACUGCCUGGCAUGGAGCAAGUGUUUAAAAAUAAGACUAGUAGUUACUAUACUGUUGCUAAUAUCACAAAUCCAAAAUCCUUCCUCAUCCGUCAUUCCAAAUCCACCAAUCUCAGAAAAAGUAUUUACUUUUUUCUUGACUAAUUUUAUGACAAAACACAUAAAGCUACUUAGAGACCUUACUUGUCCUACUUGGUGUGACUAUUCGUACCCAAACCUGCAGAAAUAGCAAUGUGUUUAUUCAUGUGGUUUUGCCCCAGUGCCUGCUGCAAAUGUUAUGUAAUAUGCUGCACAAGCCACAUACCGUUGUCGUUUUAAAUUCCGAAACAACAGUGGCAAAAUACAAACAAGCAAAAAACUAAAACACAACUGGCCCCAAGGUUUUGAAAAAGGACUGUAGUCUAGCUCGACACCACUCCAGGUAUUACAUCAAGACUAUUGUAUAUCUUUUCUAAGACUCAGUAGUGAACGCUCCAACGAAGAUGCGUACAUCCCUUGCUGAAGGUGUAACUUCCUAUAAACAGACGGUGUAAUUUGCUUAUGCAAUGGAGAGCAAUUAUCUCUCCAGAAGUGCAUUUCUUGAGUAAAAGCUUAUUCUACAUAAAUUUCAUUUGCAAUUCUGCAUGCUGUGGUUGCCGGAGAAAACAUUAAAAAACAAAGAAUCUUAGCAGGUUGUUAUCUUGUGCUCAUGUUUUGUUGACUGUAACACAUUUCUCCUGUUUCAAAGGGUUUGGCGAGAUAGAUGACAACUUCCUUUGUCGUCGGUACACUAACCCCAGCAGAAACAGAGUGCUGGAGCAAGCCCAGAAAGAUAUAAAGAAAAACAUUUCAAACAUGAAUCUUCCUGAAAUUCACAUUUAGGCUGAAAUGGGAGAAGGAUAUGAUUGCUCCAUUUUUGCAGCUUCAAGCUAUCUCCGUUCUGCCUUGGAGGAAAAAUACGGACACCUAGUCUUGUCAGCCUACUUCAUCCUGUUACUUUAUUUUUCUAGAAAUGGCUACAAUGGCCAUGAGUUACGGGCAAGGAUCUUAAAUAGAGAAAGAAUAUGAACAUGGGUCCCAUUUCCUUCUUUGAUAUCUAUUCCUUAUAAGCCCGUAUUCAGUGAUAGAAUCAAUGACUGCAUAAAUGGAUAAAUGCCCCUUGGUUCAAUAAAUGAAUUAGAAUAUACCCAGCUGUUCAGCAGAUAUUUUUAACCAGAAUCUCAGGGGAAAUAUAAGCUGCUUAAAGACUCUUCUGUCCUCUGUGGCACCAUAAGCCUUGUGUGGUGAGAAUACCCAACACUUGAGGAGAACAUCAACAUAGAUUCACGUCCAGGGAUCCAGGCUCUCAUUUUUACAGGGAAGUUGAUGGAAGUCAUCACCAAAGCCUAGGAGAAUUAGAGAAUGACUAAUGGGAGAGCUCCAGAUUAUCUCUGGACUAUAAGGAAACCUAGUGCAGAAAGCUGUGCAAAAAUGUGAAACAUAUACCACAUUACAAUAGAUAAAUUUCAGGUUUAAGUGCUCUGAAUUGGACUACUUCAUUUGAAAAUUAGUACCAGACACUUGCCCAAAUGGUGAAGCAUUAGAAAAGUGUUCCUGCCUAUUGUGUAGAGUUUAAAUCAUUUCAGAAAGAAUAACAAUUUUAGGGGUUUAACUUAUAUCCCUCCCAAGAAAUUAUAUGUGAGUGAAUUUAGAUACUUGGCUAACACCUGCAAAGAGUGUUUAUUUGUUUUUAUAUAGCCUGUUUUGUUCUAAUUGUAUUCCACACUGAAUUUUUUAAACAGAUGUGUGAAGCUCAAACAUUAGUUGCAAGGGACAUCUAAUUUAGCUUCUUGCAGGCUGAGAGUCAAAAUACAAUUUUACCCAAAUGUAAGCAAUAGAAAUUGAAUUUCCCCUGAAUCUUUUCGCUACAAGUCAAAUAUGCAUUGGCAAUGUUGCCACAGGAAUUAGCAAGGCAAGCAAUGUGCCCUGAGAACAACUUUCGGAUAAACCAAGACCAUUUAGGACAUAAAGGUUGCAUUGGAGGACCUUUCUGAAUUAUUCUCUUGAAAAUGUAGCCAUAAGAUUAUUUUCCUUUGGAAGUUGAUAGCUCACCUACUGUCCAUGGAGGCAUAUUAUCUAUCCUGGGCAGACUAUUUGCUUGAAUAUAUAACUGGCAUUAGUUUAAAUGAUUAUCUUUGAUCUAGCGAUGCAGAGUAAGUCAACAGUUUCACAGAAAUGUUGAGUAUUGUAAACAUUUAAGCUCCACUUCUGAUUCUUAGUGGUUGUCACUCUGAGGUCAGUUUGAUACACCUCGGAAAGAUGACACUAAUAUACAAAGUGUAAUUUAAAAACUAAUUCCUAGUGUGCCUAAGUGUAUUUGCCCACACAUUUGAAACUUCUGUAAUUGGCUAAAGAAGUGGUUCCCCAUCAGAGAUCUGCAGACUCCCCAAAAGUCUUUUAAGAUAGAUUUAGGACUGGGGUGGGAAGAGUGGUGUGUUAGAGGGACAAUGUCAUUAUCAACUUUUCUUUUUAUUAGGCUAUAGAGUCUUUUAAAACAUUUUUAUUUCUUAUUUUUAUUUUCUGCUUUCACUUGCAUUAUAAAAACCGAGUUUGAUAUUACUGAUUGGCUAACAGAUAAAUUAUGUUAUCACAAUUCUUGAAAUAAAGUCUUGGGCUUUGUGGCAUGAGAGCUAUGCAUAGUAAAGGAUGAAAGGAUGAGGAACCACUGUUAUAAAAUAAAACAUCCCAUUAAACCCAUUAAACAAGAGCUCCCCCUUCCACCCUUCUCCCAGCCCCUGGCAACCACAAUUCCACUUUCUGUCUCUAUGAUUUUGACUACUCUGAGUACCUUAUAUAAGUGGAAUCAUACGGCAUUUACCUUUUUGUGACUGCCUUAGUUUUACCAUAAAAACUUACUCUUACGGGUUGAAUUUUAAAAUGCAACAUUUUAAAAGUUAAGAAUCAAACCUCUUUCCACAUAGCUGUCACAUGAAAGGUUUAAAAAAUCGCAUUGAUUGAGCAAUGGUUUUAAAAGUCAAGGUUACACCUGACACAAUACAAGCCAAGAAUUGUUUUUGAAUAGUUAUUCUCCAACACUGUGAUUUCAGUAAGGAAAGCAUCAGAUUCUGAAUAAUAUUUUCUGAAUGGUAUUCAUUAGAUCGUAAUGCCUCUCUCCACAAGAGCUCAACAGUGCAAUUUGCAAAUUCAUCGGCAGUAUCUUCCCUUCUGUAUAUAAAGAAAUGAUUAUGAGGAACUUCCUCUUAGGAAGCAUUACUCCAGUGUAUGUUACUUGUCUUCAUUCUCGUGAUGUGUGAUCCACAUCAGUGAUGUUUGAGUCUGCAAUCUCCAUCUCAAAUACCUACGGCAAUCAAUCAGGCGAUGGGAUAAGUGAAACUGGAAGGUACUAUCUGAGGAACUCUGGAGAGUGCAUGCCUUUCUAAAAGGGUUAGUGGCCAGCCUUCAGUCCCAGGUGAUGGGGGAAAUAUGAAAUUCAGUCCCAAUGUUACUAGAUCCUUCUUUUUCAAAAGAAGUCAAAAAUCCAGACUUUUAAUGUGAAGACCCUCAGAUGAAAUUGACAAUUGAUUAAGUGGACACCAGUUUUUGAUUUCUGCUCUUGGUAUUUAUACCCUGAAAUGUGCAGUUUCUCUUGGAAUAGUCAUCAGUUCCUCUCUAUAGAUGGCUACAAGUGGGGAGGUUGGUACCAGUUAAAUUGACCCUGGUAAACUUUCUUAUGAUGCUUUGGAAACCCCAGAAGUGUGAAUGGAAAUGAAAGCACGGCAGCUUGUAUUUACUGGCCUAACCAACAGCAUAUGAAAGAACUUUCCUUGCUUUGCUGCUUAUGUACAGGUUAUAUUUUCCAGACUGUCCAACUGUAGGGACAAAACAAUGCUCAUGUUGAAGUUUUUAAUAUGAAUGUCUGCCGCAUAUUGAGGUAUGAGGUUUCAAUUUAAUAAGUAGUUAUUCUGUAUCUGCUACCCCUCUGGAAAUAGAGUUAUGAGUAAGAUAUGCUUCCUCUCUCAACCUUUCCAGAACCUUCUGUGUGACAAAUUUAUCCCCCCACUCAUUUUUCUCUUUGACAUACUUCUUUCUUACUGCUUAAUCAUUUACUUUCUGGCACUUACAUCAUAAUGACUGCAACUUACAUUUUCUGCGUGGACACUGUCUUGAGCAUUGUGCAUUGUUAUUGCAGGCGUUCCUGAGAAGUAGGGUUUCUACUUGCUGAUAGUGGUGCCUCCCAUUCCCAUUUCCCAGAUGAGAAACUUUUGACAUGAACGUAAAUAACUACCCCACUGACACACAGAUUUCUACCCAGGACAGUCAGACUCCACAACCUAUGUUCUUCUUUAACUCCAUGCACACUGUCUACCCAACAGGGAAAGUCUAGCAUGCCAGUUUGGUGUAUCAAAUAUCUUAUUUCCCUGGACUUCUAGCAUAGCACCUAGAAUAAUGUAGGCACUAUACUUAUGAGUAAAACUCAUGGAAAGAAUCAUGAUUUAUUUGUUCUUAGUCAAAGAGAGAUUUUAAGUUCCUACAUUUAUAAACUCUAGAAAAAUCACUUACUUAGAACUUAAAAAAAUAUUUACCAUGUUGAUAGCGUAUGAGAAGUCUGAGAAAAGAUGUGUGACUUAUAUAAAUCAUUACUGUUGGAGAAGGAUGAAAAAUAUGAUUAACACUAAUGAAAAUUUGGAAAGUGUUGAAUGACAGCUGCCUAGAAAUUCCACAUCCUAUUAUUGCCACUCACUCUUUAAGUUCACCAAACAGAGUGAGGCUUUGCUGUUGAUGUAAUGACAAAUCACUGGACCAUUCUAUUGGCAUUUUUCAAAACAUAAUUUGUUUGAUGUUAAGAAUUAUUAUUAUGUACGUGGACAGAAGACUCAUCAUACUAGUUCCUGGUCAAUAAAUGACACCAUCGUUCUACAAGCCUACAAAUCAGAUGAUUAGCUGUGUUCUGAACACCUUCCUCUCUUUAGACACCCAUUUGCAAUCUAUCAGUAAAUCUGUCAAUCUUAUCUUCUAAAAAAACUCUUGAAGCAUCUCAUUUCUCUCCCUACUACAAAGUAAGCGUUCAGUAAAUGUUUGCUGUAAUUCUUGUUAUUGUUAUUUUUCAGGGUCACUAAAUUAGUCCAAGUUACUGUCAUCACUCGCCUGAACUAUUGCAAUAACAUCCUAAACUUUUUCAUAUUAGAAUUCACACCUCACCACUCAAAAUCUUUUUUUGCACUACAGCUAGAUAACCUCUUUAAAAUGCAAAUCUGAUCGUGUCAUCUCCCCUUCUAAAACACUCACAUGGUGUGGGGGCUACACAAUCUCUAAUCUAACACCAUACUCUCUGCACCUCAGACACACUGACUUUCUAUAGGUUUCACGAUUGUGCCUCCCUCUCUCUACCCACAAGGCCUUUAUAUGUGCUGAUCUCUCUGAUUGGCAUGCUCAUCCCUUUUCUCUAUUCCCUUUAUUAACUCCUAUUUACCCUUACAUCACUUCCCUUAGAAACCCUCUUGAGAGAUCCUGCACUAAACGAGUUCCUCCCUAUUAUACUAUACCCUCUCUUAGCACCACUUACUCUCUUUUUGAAACACUCACUAUGGUUGUAAUUUUACAUAUAUUUAUGUGAAUCUUUGACUAACAUCUCUCUCUUUCUAUAUUGUAAGUUUCAUGAGGAAGGAGACUAUUUAUAUUCAAUACAUAUCCAUAGAAUUAAUGAAUGCUACUUGAAAAUAUCAGAUUCAGAAGCUAAUAAAAAGAUAUUAUAGGGUAAUAUAAUCAUAGAAAUGAUUCACAAGAGCACAUUCUCUUCAAUCUGAAGGUUUAUGGUUGUCAGGCUCUAUGCCUUACAGAUACUGUUCUAAUGUGUCUAGGUAGAUUCCUACGGAGUUAGCAGAUUUGCAUAUUUAUGGUCUCCAGGAUAAAUGGGUCUUAACUGUGAAAUAUCUGUAGGUGGGACUAACAGUAUCUACAGUAUCUGCUAUUUGAUUCUCCUUAAGCCUGGCAAGAAAGUAGACUAGCAUUAUUCCAAUCAAAAGAAUAGUGACUUGUGACAUAUGUAUCCCUAGGCAAAUAAAUGCAUUAUUCAUAUGUUCACAAGUUCAUGUAAAGCAAAGAAAGCCUAAUGAAGAUUUAUGUCUGGAUCAACUUCCUGACUUAAAAAUUUAUUAUUCCUUGGACUUAUCAUGCAAAGGAAGUGGUGGAAACCCAUCCUCUGAACUAUUAAGACUCCAUGAAAACAGAUUAGAAAGCACUCUAGAGCCCCAUCUUUCAUGGAUUAGGUGGGAUGGUGGUCGUGGAUUUGAUGAUAUAAUUGGUCAUCUAUCUCCUCAAUUUUUGCAAGAGGGCAUAAGGAGAAAAUGUGGCCAGUGGAAAAGCUUUAAUCAUGGUUGAAUGUUCUUGUUAGGUUAAUAGCUACAGGAUAUGGAAGGGAAUUAGCAUCCUAUGUUUACCCUGGUCUUUUACAUGAACUUGACUUAAAACCAUCUGGCUUGCCCAAGCAGAUAUCUCUCUCCUAUGAACUCAUAAACUCAGUGUGCAUUCAUCUGCAGGGGUGCUUGGCCAUAUGGUCUAAUGUGCUCUCAUCCAUCUCAUCUCUCUUAGACCCUAUAUCUUCAAGGCCUAGCAGAGUGCCUGUCACAAAGAAGACAUUGGGCAUUUGUUGGUGACAACAAUGAAUGAAUGGAUGGAUGAACGAAUGAUGUUACUCAACUUCAUUCCUGAGAAUUAUAUUGAGUUACUAUCAACUUUGAAAAAAAACUCCCAAAUUUUGAUACUACGGUUCUUCUAUUGCAAGGGUAGGAAAGCAAAUCCGUACCUGAAACAUUCAUAUCCACAGGUUGUACCUACAGUUUCUAUAAAUUGAGGAGAAUUGCUCUCUGCUCAAAUUCUGCCAAAUCUGAUUAUGUUCUGCCUGCCUAUAUGAGACUCUGUAAGACACAGAGUAGAUAUCAUUCCAGAUUCCUGGGAGAGAUUUGCGGGCAUGGUUCUACUCGUGAACAACAAUCCCUAUGUCUUAAUGAUGGAUUUGUCCUAUCUAAUCACAAGGAGAUGUAUUCUCGAAUAUGUUACUGCAGAUCAUGGACAUAAAAGUUUUUCCGUAGCACAGAAAGUGACUCUGGUGAGAGAGACCAUCUGCUACCUGGGUACAUUGUACAGAAGUUCACAGAUAGACAAAUAGAUGAACAAAUGAAAAUGACUAACAAACUCAUUUAGGUAUGGAUGGACGAACAGACAUGACCAAGAUCCAGAAUAAACAACAAACAGAAUUAGAAGGUGGAGGAGGGCAUCGAUAACAACAACAAAAAAGAGAGAAUCAGCAAAAAUAAAGCCCUGGUGCCACUUUGGGAUUCACUGCUGCAAGCAAGAAAAUCUCUUCCUAGGUUGAAACAGCCCAUGAGAAGGACUUCUCAGAAAAUGCACCUUAACUAACCCUGGCAGUUAAGUCCAUUUGGGCGUGUCAGUGGGACAUCCUCCAAAACUGUCAAUGCGUAAUUUUCAAAACAUUAGAAACAUGAAUCUCUAAAUAAUAAAUAAAUAUAUGCCAAAAUAUAUUUAACUUAUUAGUGAGUAAGCAAGCAGAGUGGGAAAACUGAUUCAAAAAUUCUUUGAGAACCAGGGUAUAUAUAAGCCUAUCAGAAAAAGUGUACUGAAAGUAUUUUCUAAGUUAAAGGCAAAGCUGGUUAAUGUCCUACAGGGCAAUAAACUAUGUCAUUUGGGAUUAUCUUCUGCACCCAAGCAAAUUAUUUGCAUCUCUAAGAAAAAAAUCUAUAGAUUAGCAUCCAGUUUCACAGACUCUAGGCCCUAAUUAAUAGCAAAUAAAUCAGACAAACGAAUCCCUUAGAGACAGAAAUAAUCCUUGGGUGUGCUCUUAAAGCAUAUUCCAGUAUAGUAUUAAGAGGCAUGCAGCCAUCCUUUUGCCUAUUUCCAAGUUUCGGAUAAUUUUUCUUAAUACUGAACAACUAGCAGAAAAUCAGAGCCAUAUUUUUCUCAGAAUGACUAAUGUCUUUUGAUUGUUGAGAAUAGGAAUUUUGAGUUGCCACAGAUUUAAUGUUUUGCUUAUUCUCUGUAGUUCAUAUCAUCAAGAAAGUGGAUAUUUUUGUUGUACACCAUAUAAAGCUGGAUGGAGAGCUGGGAGUGGGAAUAAUUUCAUCUUCAAUAAUAUCUUAUCUUUUUAGAGGGAGAACUCCGGAGAGUGAUUGGAAGGCGGCCAGGGCAAAUAACCUUGGCAUCCAUCUCCCUUUUGCCAUUGUAGCUGUUUCUAAUUAACCCCCUCUGGAAGUUCUGUGCCAGCUUAAAUUCCGUGCUAAAAUGCUCAUUACUCUUAUGUAAUAAAACUGGCCCAAGUGCAUUUAGUUGCAGAAAAUAAAGCUACUGCCAUAAACAUAGAUACUUUUAACACAGAUGGCAAUGGGAUGAUAUUUUCUUCUAAAACAAAUUUAAACGGUCUUGUUAGAAACCUUGUUAAACCUUGCACUCACUCAUACACCCACUCAUGCACCAGCACACAUGCAUACCACCCACACAAACCGACUCAAAAUUCUUUCAGAAUUCUGAUGGCUAUUUUUAUUCUCUUUUAUGUGCGCAUAGCUCCUCACCCCCAGAGUUUCUAGUGAACAUCUGCGAUUUGUUUAGUUGGAUGCAAUAUUAGCCAACUGCUAGGAGUUUACUUUCUGUUUCGUUUUGAUCUCCUGCAACUCUGGACCUGGUUUCACACGUUACACAGAAAUGUCAAAAAUUCCCCAGUAACAUCCCUAAAACACCUGCAAGCUUCCUAACUUCCUAACACUUGCAGACUUCCUAACUAACUCAUACGAAUUAGACUCGAGGAAGACCAAGUGGGACUCUUCAAUUGUCUCAUAUUGUUCCCAUGAUUACAUUUUCCAGGUCACACAAUUCAAAAGAUGAAAUGUCAAUAUUUGUGGGACAGGUGCAUAGCCAAUACAAAAGAUUUCCAAACAAAGGAGAUUCUCUUGAAUUAUACUUUUCCAUGGCUUAGAAAUGCAUUCUAGCCUCUGGACUGGUUUUGUGACUUGUUGAACUUUUGAAAUAAGUAUGAGUCAGAAAAAUGGAGACCUUCUGAAGUCCCUUAGAAAUUGUAGUGGGAGGACUUCUGGGUGGAGAGUUCCGUGCCCAGAAGACUAAUUUUUCGUGUUUCUGUCUAGGAGAGACCUUCCUCCUGUGGCUAGAUGGCAUGGCUAAUACGGGACCGUGUGACUCUUCUGACAAAGCCAUGGCAUCAGUCAUUUUUCUGUUUGACUUCUCCAUUGAUUUUGCACUGGUACUUUUCUGAUCAAUGAGACCUCUGUUAUGAAUGAUGAAGCAUUUUGAGGAUGCCUUCAAAUGUCUGGAAAACUGAGAAGGAGGAGUUGGAAGUACCCAAGUCUUUCUGGAAGCCAGAAGUAUUCCCACCAAAUUCCAUCAAGUGUCUGACAAGUUAGAGCCAUGUUAGUGAUUGAGUAUGUCCUUCUUUUUGUAUUUUGAGGAUGCUUUGUAAAUUGUCCCAUUCAGAGAUGACAAUUGAAGCAAAGAGUGAAAAAGAUGCUGAAAUAUGACAGGCCAUUGAAAUGUAGCAAAUAGAAAAACUUAGAAAUAUCCUAACAGUUCAAGAAGAAACUUCAAGAUGUAUGAAACAGACUUAAGAAAAGUGAAGUUAAAUAGAAGUCCUUCAGUAAUUGAAAUGCAAUCUGUAGGUACCACAUGGCGUAAUUCACAUGGAUGACUUUAAACCAGUGAUGGGUAGGACGGAUAACACCAGAGUCAGUGCAGGUGCAUCAAGAUUCCCAAUGCGACAAAAUAAUCUUGUUAUUUUCAAGAGACUGAAAGGACAAAUGGAAACUGAUAAAAAGGAUCACAUGUAAAAUCCAUAAUAAAUAUAGUAAUAAGGAAUUAAUUAUUCUUACAUUAAUUUAAGAUCCGUUACUUACAUUUUUUCUUUGUUUUUUUCCUCCCCAAAUACCCCCAGC